CGCACAAGCGGUGGAGCAUGUGGUUUAAUUCGAUGCAACGCGAAGAACCUUACCUACUCUUGACAUCCAGAGAACUUUCCAGAGAUGGAUUGGUGCCUUCGGGAACUCUGAGACAGGUGCUGCAUGGCUGUCGUCAGCUCGUGUUGUGAAAUGUUGGGUUAAGUCCCGCAACGAGCGCAACCCUUAUCCUUUGUUGCCAGCGGUUCGGCCGGGAACUCAAAGGAGACUGCCAGUGAUAAACUGGAGGAAGGUGGGGAUGACGUCAAGUCAUCAUGGCCCUUACGAGUAGGGCUACACACGUGCUACAAUGGCGCAUACAAAGAGAAGCGACCUCGCGAGAGCAAGCGGACCUCAUAAAGUGCGUCGUAGUCCGGAUUGGAGUCUGCAACUCGACUCCAUGAAGUCGGAAUCGCUAGUAAUCGUAGAUCAGAAUGCUACGGUGAAUACGUUCCCGGGCCUUGUACACACCGCCCGUCACACCAUGGGAGUGGGUUGCAAAAGAAGUAGGUAGCUUAACCUUCGGGAGGGCGCUUACCACUUUGUGAUUCAUGACUGGGGUGAAGUCGUAACAAGGUAACCGUAGGGGAACCUGCGGUUGGAUCACCUCCUUA
rnacentral:rRNA from 1 species